AACCAUAGAAACCUGCGGAGUACCUGCGGAAGGAUCAUUACAGAGUUGCAAAACUCCCUAAACCAUUGUGAACGUUACCUAAACCGUUGCUUCGGCGGGCGGCCCGGGUCCUUCCCGGCGCCCAUCGGCCCUCGCGGGCGCCCGCCGGAGGUAAACCAAACUAUUGCAUUGUAUGGCCUCUCUGAGUCUUCUGUACUGAUUAAGUCAAAACUUUUAACAACGGAUCUCAGAUCGGAAGAG
rnacentral:misc_RNA from 1 species